GACGAACGCUGGCGGCGUGCCUAAUACAUGCAAGUAGAACGCUGAAGAGAGGAGCUUACUCUUCUUGGAUGAGUUGCGAACGGGUGAGUAACGCGUAGGUAACCUGCCUUGUAGCGGGGGAUAACUAUUGGAAACGAUAGCUAAUACCGCAUAACAAUGGAUGACACAUGUCAUUUAUUUGAAAGGGGCAAUUGCUCCACUACAAGAUGGACCUGCGUUGUAUUAGCUAGUAGGUGAGGUAAUGGCUCACCUAGGCGACGAUACAUAGCCGACCUGAGAGGGUGAUCGGCCACACUGGGACUGAGACACGGCCCAGACUCCUACGGGAGGCAGCAGUAGGGAAUCUUCGGCAAUGGGGGCAACCCUGACCGAGCAACGCCGCGUGAGUGAAGAAGGUUUUCGGAUCGUAAGGCUCUGUUGUAAGUCAAGAACGGGUGUGAGAGUGGAAAGUUCACACUGUGACGGUAGCUUACCAGAAAGGGACGGCUAACUACGUG
rnacentral:rRNA from 1 species